ACUCAGUGGCGGACGGGUGAGUAACACGUAAGAAUUUGCCUUUAGGAGGGGGAUAACAACUGGAAACGGUUGCUAAUACCCCAUAUGCUUUCGAGUGAAAUGGGUUUCCGCCUAAAGAGAAGCUUGCGGCUGAUUAGCUUGUUGGUGAGGUAAUGGCUCACCAAGGCGACGAUCAGUAUCUGGUUUGAGAGGAUGAUCAGACACACUGGAACUGAGACACGGUCCAGACUCCUACGGGAGGCAGCAGUGGGGAAUUUUCCGCAAUGGGCGAAAGCCUGACGGAGCAAUACCGCGUGAGGGAUGAUGGCCUAUGGGUUGUAAACCUCUUUUUCAGGGAGGAAUCAAUGACGUGUACCUGAAGAAUAAGCAUCGGCUAACUCCGUGCCAGCAGCCGCGGUAAGACGGAGGAUGCAAGUGUUAUCCGGAAUCACUGGGCGUAAAGCGUCUGUAGGUGGUCAAAUAAGUCAACUGUUAAAUCUUGAGGCUCAACCUCAAAAUCGCAGUCGAAACUAUUAGACUAGAGUAUAGUAGGGGUAAAGGGAAUUUCCAGUGGAGCGGUGAAAUGCGUAGAGAUUGGAAGGAACACCGAUGGCGAAGGCACUUUACUGGGCUAUUACUAACACUCAGAGACGAAAGCUAGGGUAGCAAAUGGGAUUAGAUACCCCAGUAGUCCUAGCUGUAAACAAUGGAUACUAGAUGUUGAACAGAUCGACCUGUGCAGUAUCAAAGCUAACGCGUUAAGUAUCCCGCCUGGGAAGUAUGCUCGCAAGAGUGAAACUCAAAGGAAUUGA
rnacentral:rRNA from 1 species